rnacentral:sRNA from 1 species
UGAUGACGAUGAUGAUGAUGACGUCAC